UAAACCUCUUUUAGUAGGGAAGAAGCGUAACAGUGACGGUACCUGCAGAAAAAGCACCGGCUAACUACGUGCCAGCAGCCGCGGUAAUACGUAGGGUGCAAGCGUUGUCCGGAAUUAUUGGGCGUAAAGAGCUCGUAGGCGGUUUGUCGCGUCUGCUGUGAAAACCCGAGGCUCAACCUCGGGCCUGCAGUGGGUACGGGCAGACUAGAGUGCGGUAGGGGAGAUUGGAAUUCCUGGUGUAGCGGUGGAAUGCGCAGAUAUCAGGAGGAACACCAAUGGCGAAGGCAGAUCUCUGGGCCGUAACUGACGCUGAGGAGCGAAAGCAUGGGGAGCGAACAGGAUUAGAUACCCUGGUAGUCCAUGCCGUAAACGUUGGGAACUAGAUGUGGGGACCAUUCCACGGUCUCCGUGUCGCAGCUAACGCAUUAAGUUCCCCGCCCGGGGAGUACGGCCGCAAGGCUAAAACUCAAAGGAAUUGACGGAAUCACUA
rnacentral:rRNA from 1 species